AUUGAACGCUGGCGGAAUGCUUUACACAUGCAAGUCGAACGGCAGCACGGACUUCGGUCUGGUGGCGAGUGGCGAACGGGUGAGUAAUGUAUCGGAACGUGCCCAGUCGUGGGGGAUAACGUAGUGAAAAUUACGCUAAUACCGCAUACGAUCUAUGGAUGAAAGCGGGGGAUCGCAAGACCUCGCGCGAUUGGAGCGGCCGAUAUCAGAUUAGGUAGUUGGUGGGGCAAAGGCCCACCAAGCCAACGAUCUGUAGCUGGUCUGAGAGGACGACCAGCCACACUGGAACUGAGACACGGGCCAGACUCCUACGGGAGGCAGCAGUGGGUAAUUUUGGACAAUGGGCGAAAGCCUGAUCCAGCCAUUCCGCGUGCAGGAUGAAGGCCCUCGGGUUGUAAACUGCUUUUGUACAGAACGAAAAGGUUUCUACUAAUACUAGGAGCUCAUGACGGUACUGUAAGAAUAAGCACCGGCUAACUAUGUGCCAGCCGCCGCGGUAA
rnacentral:rRNA from 1 species